AAAGGAAGUUGGAGAAACAUGUAUGCCCCAGAUGCUCAGGAGAUCUCCUAUUUGGAGCACAUCCAUAGGCGUCAUGAGGAGAAGGGCUGCCUCUACGCAUGUGUGUUUGCGGCAUGUUGCUGCUUCUGCUGUGUCGAGACUUGCGAGUGCUGCCUGGACUGCCUCUGCUGCUGCUUCACUUGAAUCUGGAAGAUCUGGAUCAGUCUCCUUUACCUAGGGCCGAGUAUGUAUCUUUGUGUGCUUUAGAAUAAGUAGAAUAAUUCAUGCAGAACUGCUGUGUUCUGUUUGUUGGGUAAAUCUUGUAAUUGGGAAUUGAUCUCUAAGUUCCUUCUGUCUUGUUUUCCGUUGUGAUAUAUUUGUUA
rnacentral:misc_RNA from 1 species